rnacentral:snRNA from 1 species
UGUGCUCACCACAUGGCUGC